GAUGAACGCUGGCGGCGUGCCUAAUACAUGCAAGUCGAGCGAACAGACGAGGAGCUUGCUCCUCUAACGUUAGCGGCGGACGGGUGAGUAACACGUGGAUAACCUACCUAUAAGACUGGGAUAACUUCGGGAAACCGGAGCUAAUACCGGAUAAUAUAUUGAACCGCAUGGUUCAAUAGUGAAAGACGGUUUUGCUGUCACUUAUAGAUGGCUCCGCGCCGCAUUAGCUAGUUGGUAAGGUAACAGCUUACCAAGGCAACGAUGCGUAGCCGACCUGAGAGGGUGAUCGGCCACACUGGAACUGAGACACGGUCCAGACUCCUACGGGAGGCAGCAGUAGGGAAUCUUCCGCAAUGGGCGAAAGCCUGACGGAGCAACGCCGCGUGAGUGAUGAAGGUCUUCGGAUCGUAAAACUCUGUUAUUAGGGAAGAACAAAUGUGUAAGUAACUAUGCACGUCUUGACGGUACCUAAUCAGAAAGCCACGGCUAACUACGUG
rnacentral:rRNA from 1 species